AGGCCCAUGUUAGUCAUUUAGAAAAUGACCAACUUGUAUAAACAACCCGGACUGGUCAACAUCCACGCGUAGGACUCCUCUCUUGUAGCUCAGUCGAUCCCCAACAACAUCCUUAUCCAUUCGCAUGCACCACCUUUUCCGAUUAGCCGGCUAAUGAGGAUCUCGUUGCUUUCCAUCAUGGAACUAAUUCCCAAGCCAUCUCCACUUCUCCAUUCAUUUCUUUGAAUUUGUCUUCAGGUAUUGGCGCAGUCGGUCAUUGCGUGUAGUGCGGGGACGCGUUCGUCGUGUUCUCAAGGAUGUGGAUCCUCGAAGACCUCGUCGAGUCUGGCAGAGCGGCCAUGGGGAUUAGCAGGUAAAACACGGCGGCUGCACUGCUCAAGCUCUUCAUGGCCGAUGGCUAGAGGUUUAUGGCAAAGGUGCUUCAGUUUGGCCCCGUGGAGGAGGCUGUGUGGGAACUGACAGAGUCACCCCCUAAUGGUGAAUUGUUGGAUCUGACAACUGAGGUACGGGAGAGAGUUUGGGAUUGCUGCUAUUGUCCUCAUAUAUCUAUAGGUAUUAUAUAGGGGCAAUGGUGAAACCUUAGUAUAAGUAGAUCAUGGAAUACAAAUAGCAACACACGAGCGUGAGAUGCUGACCUCCUCAUUGCUGGUGUUGCCAGACUACUGCCAAAUAAGUUCCAACUGAUGAUAUGCAUCCUUUGUAAUGAAGAUUAUUUCUUGUAUUUUAUCCGUAGGAGUGUUUUACUACAUAGUAUUUUUAAUUUGCUCUUAGCAAGAAAUAAUUUAUUCAUGUUGCCUUUUAUUUGAAAAAAGGCUUUAUUAACCGAAGUUCGUUCUGAUGUGCCAAUAAGAUUAUUUUCAUUAUUUUCUUAUAAACUGCAAAGGCCUUAUGAGAUAGAUGUUUUGUUACGAAGAAAAAUUAACUGAAAGAAGUGCAUGUCUGACCGUAUUUGUAAAACUUACAAUAUGAACUGCUUUUGAUAGUCUUGUAUCCAUGUAUUUUCAUGCUAUUUGAGUUUUUAAAAAGCUUUUGCCAAAAUUAUUUGAUGGAUUAUUCUGCUAUGCUUUGGUAAUUAGAUUACCUUUUGUGUGUUAAUAUGGCACCUUGGAUAUUAAUUUGGGUAUAGGUUUGUUGAGCAGAAGCUCGCAUGCAGAAUUUUCUCAAGUAACCUCUGGUCACCCUAUCAAGUAACCGAGAAACAAUCUUCCAGUUGCCAACAAGUUUUUAGUCACCUAAUCAAUUAAUGUGAUUAGAUAUUGGAUUAACUUUGCUGCUUAGUUUAAAUGUGGGAUUUUUUUUUUGGUUAGAAUGGUGUUGCUGGGCAAAGCUAGCGGUCUGUACAACAGCAUAGAGGACCUUCAUUUGCUUAUAUCCGGAUCUACUAUCAAGUUACUGAAGCAAGGUAUGGUCAUGUCCAUUGUGCUGGCCUCAUAUAGAUUUGCCAAAGUAUAGUUUCUUCAAAUUGUGAAGUGAAUCAUAAUGCGUCAAACUCUGGUCUUCUCAUAUAGAGUUGCCCAAGUAUAGUUUCUUCAAAUUGUAAAGUAAAUCAUAACCGUCAAACUAUAGUCUUGUAGUAUGUUCCUAUCUAUUGUGCUGUCCUCGUACAGAUUUGUCUAAAAUAGCAUUUACAUAAAGGAAACUACAUGGACAUAUCUUGGUCGAUACAGAUAAACUGCCAUGAUAUUUAUUUCAUAACCUACUAAUCCAACUAUUAUCUAGACAACAUCCUUGUUCUCGUGGGCCUUUCUUUCCGUACUUCAUCUUCAUCUUCAUGCACUGUAUUUUUCGAUUUUGCACUAACAUGCUUCUUGUUCUUGCAGACACCUUUUUUCUUUUGUUCUGGCAAAUUUGUCUCAGUGC
rnacentral:lncRNA from 1 species